GAGUCAACGUAGCAAUACGUGGCACACGGCUCAGUAACACGUAGUCAACAUAACCAAAGGACGUGGAUAAACUCGGGAAACUGAGGCUAAACCGCGAUAGAUCAAGAUACCUGGAAUGGUUUUUGAUCAAAAUCUAUAUGGCCUUUGGAUUGGACUGCGUCCGAUCAGGCUGUUGGUGAGGUAAUGGCCCACCAAACCUGUAACCGGUACGGGCUCUGAGAGGAGGAGCCCGGAGAUGGGUACUGAGAAAAGGACCCAGGCCCUAUGGGGCGCAGCAGGCGCGAAACCUCUGCAAUAGGCGAAAGCCUGACGGGGUUAUUCUGAGUGGCUUUCGCUAAGAAAGUCUUUUGACACCUCUAAAAAUGGUGUAGAAUAAGGGGUGGGCAAGUCUGGUGUCAGCCGCCGCGGUAAUACCAGCACCCCGAGUGGUCGGGACGAUUAUUGGGCCUAAAGCAUCCGUAGCCGGUUUUACAAGUCCUCCGUUAAAUCCAGCUGCUUAACAGAUGGGCUGCGGAGGAUACUAUAAGACUAGGAGGCAGGAGAGGCAAGCGGUACUCAGUGGGUAGGGGUAAAAUCCGUUGAUCCAUUGAAGACCACCAGUGGCGAAGGCGGCUUGCCAGAAUGCGCUCGACGGUGAGGGAUGAAAGCUGGGGGAGCAAACCGGAUUAGAUACCCGGGUAGUCCCAGCUGUAAACGAUGCAGACUCGGUGAUGGACUAGCUUUAUGCUAGUCCAGUGCCGCAGGGAAGCCGUUAAGUCUGCCGCCUGGGUAGUACGGUCGCAAGACUGAA
rnacentral:rRNA from 1 species